UUUAAACACGAAAACUCUCACAGCACGUGGAACACAUCUGCGUGUGUGCCCAUUGCCAGCUCUGCUGCUCCUUUACUUAAGGUAGACCUGACAUCAGCAGCAGAUGGUCAUUAUCAGGUUUCUUAUCUCAUCCUUGUUGCCCCGAAACAUAAUUUCUCCCAUCCUUCAGGCUGUGCUAAUGAGGUUGAUGUUACAGGCUGGACUUUGUGGAUAAUCUGGUGGACUUCACUGUCUUUCCUGGUCAUAAAUGCUGUUUUCGUGCUUGUUCUUCUGUUUCAUCUGUUUAUUGACAUUCAGCCUCCACCAAACACAGGUUUCAGGGACAUGGAUGAAUCUGGAGAACGUCAUCCUCAGCAAACUGACACAAGAACAGAAAAUGAAACACCGCAUAUUCUCACUCAUAGAACAGCCCAUCUGCCAGCUGAGGACUUCCCGUAUGUACUUCAUGCCUUGAAGAACAGAGGAACUGCCCAGUUGAGCCCUGUGUGAAUUCCCGACCCAAACGAUUGUGAGGGAUAAUAAAACAUUUGUUGGAUUAAACGAGUGUUGACG
rnacentral:lncRNA from 13 species